rnacentral:rRNA from 1 species
UCGGAGAUAGCUGGUUCUCCCCGAAAUAUAUUUAGGUAUAGCCUCAGAGCGAUGUCUCCAGGAGGUAGAGCACUGCGUGGAAUAGGGGGCUUAUCCGCUUACCAACCCCAUGCAAACUCCGAAUGCCUGCGAGAUGGACUCUGGGAGUCAGUGGGCGGGCGAUAAUGUCCGUCCGCGAGAGGGAAACAGCCCAGACCGUCAGCUAAGGUCCCAAAGUGUAAACUAAGUGAUUAAGGAUGUGGAUGUGCACAGACAGCUAGGAGGUUGGCUUAGAAGCAGCCAUUCCUUUAAAGAGUGCGUAACAGCUCACUAGUCAAGUGUAUCUGCGCCGAUAAUGGUCGGGACUCAAGUUUACCACCGAAGCUACGGAUGUGGAAUACAUGGUAGGGGAGCAUUCCCUAGGCCCUGAAGCCGGCUCGUGAGAGCACCGGUGGAGCGUAGGGAAGAGAGUAUGCUGGAAUGAGUAGCGAUAAACAGAGUGAGAAUCUCUGUCACCGAAAGCCUAAGGGUUCCGGAGCAAGGUUCAUCCGCCCCGGGUUAGUCGGUCCCUAAGCUGAGGCCGAGAGGCGUAGGCGAUGGGAAACGGGUUAAUAUUCCCGUACCACAGAGUAGUGCGUUUGACCCUAAGGGGGGACGCAGCAGCAGAAGCGACCGUCGGGUGGUGGAAUAUCCGAUGUAAGGUGGUAGGUGUUUCUGGACAGGCAAAUCCGUCCGGAGUAACCGAGCGCCGAUGCCGAAGGGACCAUAAGGUCCCGCAAAGGGUUGUGGAGCAUACUGCCAAGAAAAUCCUCGUAGGGAAGUGCUUUCUGUGACCGUACCUAAACGGACACACGUAGGCGAGGCGAGUAGCCUAAGGUGCUCGAGUGAUUUGCGGAGAAGGAACUCGGCAAAAUGUCCCCGUAACUUCGGGAGAAGGGGAGCCCGUGUUAGGUGAACCACAACGCGUGGGGAGCUGAAACGGGCCGCAGAGAAUCGGCCCAAGCGACUGUUUAUUAAAAACACAGGUGUCUGCAAAGUCGCCAAGACGACGUAUAGGCACUGACGCCUGCCCGGUGCCGGAAGGUUAAAGGGAAGGGUUAGCCAUUAGGCAAAGCUCCAAACUGAAGCCCCGGUAAACGGCGGCCGUAACUAUAACGGUCCUAAGGUAGCGAAAUUCCUUGUCGGGUAAGUUCCGACCUGCACGAAUGGCGUAACGAUUUGGGCGCUGUCUCCUCCGCAAGCUCGGCGAAAUUGGAGUCUCGGUGAGGAUACCGAGUACCCGUGACAGGACAAAAAGACCCCGUGCACCUUUACUAUAACCUGCUAUUGGGCCUUGGCUUUACAUGUGUAGCAUAGGUGGGAGGCAUUGAACCGGAGUCGUCAGGCUUCGGGGAGCCGUUAGUGAAAUACCACCCUUAUAAUGUUGAGUCUCUAACCUAGGGGAGUGAAUCCUCCUCGGGGACCGUGGCAGGCGGGUAGUUUGACUGGGGCGGUCGCCUCCCAAAGAGUAACGGA